GGAUUGCAGGCUGCAACCCGCCUGCAUGAAGUUGGAAUCGCUAGUAAUCGCGGAUCAGCAUGCCGCGGUGAAUACGUUCCUGGGCCUUGUACACACCGCCCGUCACACCAUGAGAGUCGGGAACACCCGAAGUCCGUAGCCUAACCGCAAGGGGGACGCGGCCGAAGGUGGGUUCGAUAAUUGGGGUGAAGUCGUAACAAGGUAUC
rnacentral:rRNA from 1 species